GAGCACCCGGAUUGGGGGGAGGGGCGCGGGGAGUUGUCGCCGAGGAAGUUCAGAGGAUGAUUACGCGCCACACAUUGGUUUUACGACUCCCUGGCCGUCCAGUUGUCGGAAGACGAAUUUUAAAAUUCCUGCGGUGAGGGUGGAGGCGGGAACUCCCGCUUUCUCUGGCUUUGUAGGUGGCUUAACUGCUUCGCCCUGGGGAGGGGCACCGAGAUGCCAGAGAUAAGUGCCCGACAGGAACGCUGAGAUCGAUCCCGGGGAAGAAACGUGGAACCUGGGAAUGCUCCCCUCUGCUUGCGUUACUAGAGUGCCCUGAGUUCUCUCAGUGUAGAGGAGAAAAAAAAAAAAAAAUCACUGAACGCAAAGUGGCAACUCGAACUUCAGGCAGGCAGCCCUGUUAUUGCCUCACCCAGCUGCUCUUUGUAGACAUAAACUGAAUUGUCGGCUUCACUAGUACACACGCCAGUAUCCAUCCCCAAAACAACUGGUCUCCCCCAAACCCCUUUAAAUAAAGCCAUCUUAGUAUUCUAGACUGGCCUCAAACUCCACGCAUAGUUGAGGAUGACCUUGACCCGAUCUUCCCGACUCCCUCCAGCUCCCGCGGGGGAAUUACAGGCAGGUGUCCACUACCGUGCAGUUUCCAGGGCGCUGGGGACAAAACCCAGGCCUCCUUCCCUGCUAAGCCAACUGGGCCAUAUCAAUAAAGAUUUUUUGUUAAUGGUUUGGUGCCAUUA